AACGAACGCUGGCGGCAGGCUUAACACAUGCAAGUCGAACGCAUCCUUCGGGGUGAGUGGCAGACGGGUGAGUAACGCGUGGGAACGUGCCCUUCAGUUCGGGAUAACCCAGGGAAACUUGGGCUAAUACCGGAUACGUGCGAGAGCAGAAAGAUUUAUCGCCGAAGGAUCGGCCCGCGUCGGAUUAGCGCGUUGGGGGGGUAAUGGCGCACCAAGGCGACGAGCAGUAGCUGGUCGGAGAGGAGGAUCAGCCACAGUGGGGCUAGGACACGGCCCGAGGUCCUACGGGGGGAAGCAGUGGGGAAUAUUGGACAAUGGGCGCAAGCCUGAUCCAGCGAUGCCGCGUGAGUGAUGAAGGCCUUAGGGUUGUAAAGCUCUUUCGUCCGGGACGAUAAUGACGGUACCGGAAGAAGAAGCCCCGGCUAACUUCGUGCCAGCCGCCGCCGUAA
rnacentral:rRNA from 1 species